rnacentral:lncRNA from 1 species
UAUAAACUCAAAUUUGCUCUUUCAUGUUGAAUUAAAUGAAAACAACAAAAAUGUAUCAAUUAAAGGAUGUGUCUGUUUAAUUGGGAUACUUGCCAUUUGUGCCAAAGUAGGAAAACAAAAACACUACUUUUCAAUGAUGUUUUACAUAAAUAACCAUAAAAACAUAUUCAAUAUUUUAUGCUAACUGCAUUUUUUUAACCAAAAGUGACGGGUUCCAACCAAAAAUUAUUUAUAUCGACAAGUGGUAAAUUUGAAUGGCUGAUACAUGAUGAAAAUGCUUAUUGAAACUUUCCAAUACAAUUUACUGUGAUUUUCACCAUGAAUUUAAUUUACAAAAAAUUCCGAGAUAUAUUGAGCCUCUUGUAGAAUUAUGUUACCAACUUCAUGUAAUAUACAAGAAUCCGAAAAUAUAACAAAUAUAAUUCCAAACACAAAAACAAUGAAACCACAAGUAGUACAUGGACAUGAAAAAAAUUUGAACCUCAAUAUUCAUAAAGCGGAAGUUUCAAGUAACACACUGAUGAACAUUGAAGUAAUUUUGCAGAACAUCCUAUUUAAAAUGAUAAUAAAGUUAAGUGAUAAUGUUGAGAUGUUACUUGUUAUUAUAUGAAUGUGUAUUAUUAUGAACUAUAAUUUAAAUCAGCACUUGCACCUGAUUGAAAGUCUUUUUGUGUGUCAAUAAUAGCUACACCACUUAUCCGCAAUCAUAGAAAAAAAAAGGAUUGUCACUUUGUUAUUUUGCUCUAACACGACUGUCAGAGAAAUCAAUUAGAUUAUUUUUCAAAAGUAUAUGAAAAAAAAAACACUAACAAUGUUCACUUGUAUUGUAGGAAUUUGGUUCGUCACGUUUAGAUAUAGCAAGAGAAGAAAAAAGUAAAAGAAUUUUAAACUUUCUUAGAAGCACUGAAAAUGGUCUCUGCUUUGUAUUUUUUUCUGAACAUACAAUUUCCCAAAGGAUUUAUAAUAACAUUUGAGGUGGAGAUUCAAUCAGAUUCAUGCUCAAAAUAUGAAAAGCUAAAUCCAGUGAAGAAAAAAGUGUUCAAUUCUAUCACCAGAUUUUUUAAAUUUCCGAAAUGAAAAUCUUAGAAAAUAGCAAGUGUUCAGAAAUUAAUAUAAGAAAAUUUUCUUGUUUUCUAUGAAAUAAAACGUAUGUUGAUGCCACUGUUUUCUAUGUCUAAAGUGUAUAUUUUCAAUUUUUAUACAGAAUACAUUUUAUUUUUAGAUUUAUUGGAAAUAAUAAUAUGCCUGGACAGUUCAACUUUCAUUUGAUAAGUUCUGGUUGUCAAUUGUCUUGAUAUAUAAAUCAAAAAUAAAUUUAUAUGAAGACAUUCAAUAUUCCUAAUUUUUGUAUGAUGAUGAAAAUUGAAAACGUGAAAAUCCAUUGUGUAAUGAGAGUGGAAUCUGUGAAAAUUCAUUGGGAAAUGACAAUCAAAUAGAUCCUCCAAUCACCCGAAGAAAAGAAACUGCUGCCAAUGCUUUCUCAUCGCUGUCUCAGAAAGUGUGGAGUUCGAUUUUUGAGGCUUUUUAUUUGAGUAAACUAUAAAUCGUAGAAUUGUGAUAUCUAUGGAGACUCUAUUGUUCCUACUAGGGCUAUCGAGUUAGUCAUCCAGAUUUCAUCACCUUACAAAUCACUUGGACAGCUUCUUCUUUUCAGAAUUCGUAGAAUCCAGGAAGUUAUUCAUGUAAAACUUUUUCGUUAUAGCUUCUCUUACACGUGGAUCUGUUAAAAACGACGAAAGUUAUAGCAGAAAUUACACUAUGUCUAUAAAAACCUGAAACUGAUUGUAAUUUUCUACAAGAAGACCUAAAACAAAUAGCUCAUUGGUGUCAGGCGAAAGGCAUAAACCUUAAUAAAGACAAAUGUAUUGCCAUCUUCUUUUCCCGUUCUAUUUCUCCCAUUAUUUUUGAUUUUUAUAUAAACGGUUUGUCCUUGAAUCAAGUUCGGGUUGAGAAAGAUUUCGGCAUUCUUUUGGAUACAAAACUGUCUUUCCAGAACCAUAUAUUCAGAGUGGUACAAUCAUGUUACAGACUCCUUGGUUUCAUUCUUAGAAUUGACAAAGACUUCUCACCUACUACUCUGAACAUCCUAUACUAUUGUUUAAUUCAUUCUGAAUUUGAUUAUGCUUCUAUCAUCUGGUCUACAUCGUAUUGCAUAUAUAAACAAUCUCUUAAAUCAGUUCAGAAAAAGUUCUUAAGUACCAUUGCCUUCAAAUUGGGUCUUAAAUAGGGAAUUAUACUUUUUUUGAUAUCGGAGCUAAUAUUCAAAUUCCUUCAAUAGAAAAUUGACUUGUUCAAAAUGACACAUCAUUAUGGUGAUAUCGACUGUCCAAAGCAUUUGAGUAAUCUUAGUUUUGAGAUUAAACAAAGUGAUACUAGGGAUGACAAAAGUAUUUUUUCUGAAAAUGUUCACCAUAUAAAUUAAACAGUCCACUGCCAAGACUUUCAGACUGGCAAACAAUUCUUAUUUUAACUUCUUUGGUGUCUCUCUAUAAAUACAUUUA